UACAGAGGGGGCAAGCGUUGUUCGGAAUUACUGGGCGUAAAGGGCGCGUAGGCGGCCUGCUAAGUCGAACGUGAAAUCCCCGAGCUCAACUCGGGAACUGCGUCCGAUACUGGCAGGCUUGAAUCCGGGAGAGGGAUGCGGAAUUCCAGGUGUAGCGGUGAAAUGCGUAGAUAUCUGGAGGAACACCGGUGGCGAAGGCGGCAUCCUGGACCGGCAUUGACGCUGCGGCGCGAAAGCCAGGGGAGCAAACGGG
rnacentral:rRNA from 1 species